rnacentral:lncRNA from 1 species
AAUUUUAAAGCCAAAUUAAACUUUUGACCCCAAUUUCACGGUCCACUGAACAUAGAAAAUGAAAGUGCAUGUUUCAGGUUAAAGUUUUUCAGGUUAAAGUUUUUGGUCAAGGUAGUUUUUGAUGAAGUUGAAGUCCAAUCAACUUGAAACUUAGUACACAUGUUCCUUAUGAUAUGAUCUUUCUAAUUUUAAAGCCAAAUUAAACUUUUGACCCCAAUUUCACGGUCCACUGAACAUAGAAAAUGAAAGUGCAUGUUUCAGGUUAAAGUUUUUCAGGUUAAAGUUUUUGGUCAAGGUAGUUUUUGAUGAAGUUGAAGUCCAAUCAACUUGAAACUUAGUACACAUGUUCCUUAUGAUAUGAUCUUUCUAAUUUUAAAAGCCAAAUUAAACUUUUGACCCCG